AGUGACGUCAUGAGUCUUUCGUAGACUUAGGUCUACUUCCUCUCUCUCUACAUACAGCUUCCCCAGACUAACACUGUGCUGUAGCUUUGAAUUCUUCUUUUCUAUGUAUUGCAGCAAAGAAAACAUUGUGCAAUGUGACAUCUGUGUAGAGACUGUCGGAAUAAGGGAUGCAUUUAAAAUACAUAAACAACUGCAAGACAGAAGUUGGUAGCAUGAGCCUUCAUAGACUUGGGGCUACUGCCCCAGAGGGCCUUUGGUGGAGUGGGAAGUCCAGCACAAUCCGUGUGUGAGACUGUCCAUGGAGAUGCAGGCCCUUCUGGGUGUGGAGAGGCGGUGGCAGGUUUAGUCUUAAUGAUGGUGGUUGUGGGAGAGGCUCUUGCAUGAAGCCAAGGAGGGCAGGUAACCGUAUGGAUGAGCAUUGGACCGUAGUGUGGGAAGCAGAGGGGCAGGUGGUGAACUGGUCAAGGGCACUCCUGAGGAUGGGGCUGCUAGACAGUCUCAAAAUGUGUGCAGUGGGCCAGGAAACCAUUAUCUCUCUUCAACUCAUUGCUGAUGGACUGUAGUUUGUGGAUUACAUUCCAGUUCUGCUGUUUCUCUUUCCAGUCUUCCUUUGCACUUCUUUUGGUGAGGUCUGUGGUGCAGUGCCCAGGGAAAUUCAGGUCCUGUGAUGACAUGUCCUGUCAGAUGUGUAAGCAGAGCUGGUAUCUGGGUUUGUUGGAAUGCUUUGUACCUGUGUCCUCAUCUGUGUUGUCUGUCCUCCGGUAGGUAAGUAUUGUUCAGCUAAUAGCAUCUUCAUGUUCUCUACUCCACCCUCAUCAAUUAUGUUGUUGUCUUAUCUGAGUGUUUGUUAUGGGAUGGUCUCCUUUACACAUACAUGUACAGGCACACCUCUUUUAACAAAGCCUCUGAGCGUGAAGCCUUUUUAUACAAAGCCUUUCAAUGUCCCCUCAAACAUCUGUUUUCCCUUCUCAUCUUCUGUCUAUCUGGAAGUUUUCUUCUAGCUGCAUCAGCAAUGAGGAUAGUGAAGGAGGGCACAGACUUUUGGUGUUCAAUUGACGCAGCAUGUCUGCAGUAGACAAAACAAUAAAACGUUCACUAGGGGGAAAUGGGAUUCUAUUUUAGGGAAUCCAGGUGUUGUGAAUGCCUACCUAGGACAGGCAAGAUAAACAGCAACUGCUUCCAGAAGCCUUUGCUGAGCAUGCAUGACCAACAAAAUAGAGAAAAAAGGGAAGAGCAGAUAAACCUGCCUCAGUUUAGACCCAGUUUGUUAUAAAUAAGCAUAAACCCAUACGUUUGGCCAGCAAAAUGGAAAUCAUAAGAAAUAUGAUGAAAUAAAAAGUUAUCCCUGGAUGCAUUUUGGAAGAAGUCUUCAAGUAAUUUGCUUCAAGGCUUGCCUGACCUGGAUGUUUCAUUUCACAUGUGCAUAUUGUUAAUUUUGAAUAAAAUGGUUGCUGAAGCAUGUUGAA